rnacentral:other from 1 species
UUCCCUGCGUAGUGCGUGUAGAACUGAUUUUUUAGAACCUACAAGUUUGGAGAAGGGAGUCUGAACUCUAGAUAUGGCGUGUAGGCUUGCAUUUAUGUAAGAAACCCAUAAGUAUUUAGGAGGACACCCACCUGUAUAUAUACAGGUCCAUAAAAAAUCUUCAUCUUACGGCUUAGACGUGGGGU